GAUAUUCUUGGUAAUGGCUACUGGCCAGCAAAUCCAAAGUCUUUAAAUGUGUUAUUUUCACAGGAUUUACUUCUGCUGUGGAACACAAUGCAAAAGAGAAUGCCAGGUUGUUCUGAGUCCAGUUUUAUUAAAUCAUUGGAAGACAUAAGUGUUUCAAAAGGAAGGUUUGGAUCAAUAAAUCCACGAACGUUCACAAAAGCCUUUCGA